AGGCACUCUGUAGCCUCCAGGGAAAUAGGGCAGAGAAAAGCUGGCCCUUGUCUACCGGGAAAGGAAAGUGUACAGCAACAAUUCUCAGCGUACCGCCUGGAGAAUCCCAGCAUGGGUUUCUGGCUCUGAGAAAUGCCACGCCCACACUGUGAGCUGCCCGGGAAGAAGCCUGCGGGACAAAAAGCUGCCGUGUGGCCGACAGUCACUGACCCCCCAGGGCUCCCGCCAGCCCGGCUGUGUACCCAGACACCGAGAUUGCAGCUGGGCGCUGGCUACGCUGGGAGAGACCUCGAACCGGAGGUGUCAGUAGCCACGAGUGGACUCCUGGCCCACAGAGGCUGGGAGACGAUGAGCAUUUGCCACACUGUUGGAUUUGGGGUUCAACUGUUACAGGGCACAGAUGACUCUGGCGGUGGAGCUACCUCAGGGAUAUGCAGGAAAGGAGGGGAAACAGACUUGGGUGCUGCCGUGGAUGAUCUUGAACAGGAAACUGGCCUUUGGGAGACAAGAGGCGAUGGGGCCCAGAGUGUGAGAAGAGGGAUCUGCUGCAGGCAGAAGCAAAGUUCAUCGGCAGAGUGAGAGCGCAGAGUCCUUGGAGAAAUGCACCCUGAGUCCAAGGCCGUGGCUCAGAGGGAAGGCAGUGGGAGUCUGAGGCGUCUCCCUCCUGCCACAUUUGGCUGCAGGGGUCUGGACUUGAGCAGGCAGCUCUGCAUCCCACGGUGUCAGCUUACUACGGAAGAAUGACAGGGCUGAAGAGGACAGGGGCGGGGGACGUUCAGAGGCCACUGCCAUAAUGAUUGGCUGCAGACAGCCACACGUGAGGAUCACUAAACCGGAAGUCCCAGUGGGGACAAAGGAUUGGGGAAGCCAGAGUGGUGAAAGCAGUGGAUGCAAGAAAUCAAGACUGGAGGUGGGCUGCGGCUACCGGGUGAAGCCACAGGACAGAGUGACCGAGGGAGGAGGAUCAUGGGAGGAAAGAGCCUCCAGGAACUGAAACGCAGCGCCCGGGUGGCAGGAGGCGUCACCCACAAAGCUUCCGGUAGAUCUGCUCAGCCCAGCUUCAGCAUAGAGGUUGUCAGUAUUGAGCCUGGAAGCAGAGGGGUGGCAGGAACAAACGAAUAGGGGAGCAAACAAGCUAUUCGUGAACAUUGGUGUUUUAUCAGUGAGCCACUUUUAAAAUCAAGAGCCAGAGUAGGAAAAGCAUCACACCUGGGAGGUAGAGACUGCAGCAGGUCCCAUCUUACAGAGGAGGAAACCCACACGGAACGAACUUAGGCUCCAGGAGGGUGAGAACCUAUAUCCCUCUCACGGUGAUGACCUAUUUAGUGCCAGGCCCAAGAAAACACCCGCUGAAUCUGUGCCGGCUGAGUGCUGAAUGUGUAGCCAUGACUGCUAGUGACAAAGGCCACGUGAGCUGUGUGUCAGCCCGGGCAGGGCACUGCACUGUGGCCUUGGCAGGAACCGUUUCACUUAAUCUUCACACACGGCCCACAAUGCAGUGCUGCUGUACUCAGAUGUAACCGAGAUGCCCUCGAAACUGGACAGGUCAGUGCUGCCCUCAAGGUCACCCAGAGGGUGAGUCCAGCCAGUGGCCCAGGGAGCCUGCAGUCCCCGGCUGUGCAUCUCAGGUAAAGGACAUCCCCUGCCAUCCUGGCCAGCACUGUCCCACCCACGCUCCCCCUGGCUGCCACCCCUGGCUCUCAGGCAGGCUGCCUGGGCCCCCAGGGAAGUCCUGGACAGGACCCAGGUCUGCUCCUGGAAGGGAGCCCCAGCAAGGCAGGAGCAUCCGUCCCUGCUGGCUAAGCCUUGCCCGCUGGCAUUGCCACACGGCAGAGACUGACUCGAGGAGUGGCCACCAGGUGCAGAGGUCGCUGAGCCAGAGGUCUGAACCACCUCUGCAUCCUCCCAGCCCAGGCCUGCUGGGCCCUCGCUUCCGGCUGCUUCGGAACACCUGGUAAGAGGACGACCUGCUUCCCUACCCUUCCUCUCGACACCCAGGGCCCUGAGCGCCAGGCCCUUCCUGCCCUGUCCUUCCGCUCCUCCCACCACUCUCCACCUGUACCUCACCUUCCCCCUUCCCCUUAAUCGUCUCAUUUACAAAGGGAAAGUCUUUGGGGGAGGUGGAUGCUUCAGGCAUCUCAAAGUACCCCAGGGCUGCAGAAAGCUGUCAGCCCCUUCCCAGCAGGGUCACGUGGCCAGAUCACUUCCCAGGGCUUCUGGAGAGUAUGCCAUCAGAGGCCCCCCGUGCCCUGCCCCAGGGACAGGAACCACAUGGCCCUGUGGGCCAAUGCGAGGGCUCAGGUUUCCUCUUAAUUUCCUGUGCAUUUAGUGAUCAUGGCUUAACUCGGUGAUGAAUGAUUCCCUGAUCCAGUGCACACCACGAGGGGGUUCUCCAGGCUUAGCAGGGGGACCCCCAGGCCAUCCCUCUCUUCCUAUCUCCUGUCCUACAAGGGGUCCGCAUCCUACUCUGAAGGGGGCAGCUUGCUGCCCUUCCCACGGUGUCUUCUCCUCAUGCCCCCGCCUUUCCUGCUUUUACUUAAAAAGUCUCUCUUUGAGCCAAAGUCCUUUCAAGAGAACUUCUUGUAACAAAUAUCCUACAUUAACAUACCACGUUAAAGCCUUUCUUUAAAAAAAAUCUUCUCAUUACAAAAUAAUACAUGCUCAUUAUAAAAAUACGGAAAAUGCAGGAACAUUUUUAAAAGAAGCUUUAAAUCAUCCAUCGUCUCACACUCCUGAGAAAACCGUGGCUAAUAUGCAGCUGAUUUGUGUGUCUAUGUGUACCUCUGUGCAUCACUAAUGCCCCACGCUGAUUGAAUGGAGGCGCACACCAGAUGCAGUGAGUCCAUGUAGAGCUCAUGACUUCCACGACGUGCUCUCCCCAUUUCUUCUCCCCCUGAGCACCCCCAUAAACGGAAGAGCAGAUCUGCAUGCUUUGGGACUGGCACAGGGAAGCCAAGGUCCAGAGAAGCAGUGAUUUUUCCCAAGGUCAUGCAUUUUUCUUGUACAACUGGGAUUGGAGCCUAAGUCUCUUGGGCCAUGGCCAAGUGUUCUUUCCACUGGACUGAGAGAAAAUCGUCCCCAGCACCAUCAGGAGAAGAGUCCUAGGUACAAGUGCCAAAUUAUAACAUGUAGAAUCAGUUUCUAGGGUUUACAUUACCCGAGUCCAAAGAGAGGAAUGUUGAAAUGCCUUCUUGAAGCAAAUUUGUAAAUGUAUCGUGGUCACUGAGGGAGCGAGAGUUCCCCCUCUUGCCUUGAACUUGGACUGUCAUCCUUGCUGACCCUCUAGUUUAUUCAGAGUUUCAAGUUGCAAAUUGAAAUAUAACUUACUCCUACUUCAUGCAGAAGGUUAAUUUAUUCAAAGGUAUCAGGUACAUCACAAAAUCUCCAGAAGGACCAAAGAACCAACUUUGGUAACCACAUAGGAACAACCAAACCUAGGGCGAUUGUCAAAUAUUUGGCAGCCAUACGAUGCAGGCUCCAACUAAGAAGAAUAGCAGAAGGCAAUAGAUGACCUCUACAGCAGUACUGGGGCAUCAUAGCUGAGUAUCAGCUCUGCCUGAAUCUCACCUUGGACACAGUCCAUUAGGGAGAUUGCAUUAGUCAGGUUCUUCUGUGAUAAUGCCAAACAACAAAUUUUCUCAACAGCAUUUUCUUUUCUGUUCAUGGGUCAGUUGUGUUUCAGGUAAUCUCAGCUGGGCUCAGCUGAGCUUUGUUGGGUCCAGGUCCAGAGAUUGGGUCUGUUUCAAGUGUCUUGAUUUCAGGACCCAGGCUGAAGGGACAGUGGGUACAUGGAGCAGGUUCUUCUCAUGAUGAGGGGGAGGCUCAAGGGGGCUGAUGGAAACUCACCAUGCUUUCUAAAGCCUUUCCCGAGACAGACCGGAGAUGCCGUCCCUUCCAGCUGAAGUCCAUGGCCCAAAACAAGUCCUAUGGCCAAGCUCAAAGUCAGUGGUCCUGGAGAGUAGCUUGUCUGCUGUUACAGGAGCAUCACACAGUCACAUUGCAAAAGAUUCCAGUUCAUCACUCAGGGUACAGCCACCCAUUGAGUGUCCAGGCUUCCAAGAAGUCUGGAGAAGAAAGUUUCUGGCUUCUCCCAAGGAUGGGGUGGAAAAGUGACCUCACGGCAAGGCAGUUGAUUCAUGAAGUGGGGAAUCCAUCAAGUAUUCUUCUCUGGGAGGAAUACUUGGCCAAAGGAAGAACAACCAAGGUACUGGGUGGAAAGAAGGGCAAAUGUCCACUGCACCCUCAGGAAGCAGACCUGCCUAUCUGACUGCACUGUCCAUUCUGAUGUAUGCAUGACAAAGAAAUUAAUGCCUAUCCAUUAGUUACAAUGAAUACAAUUUUGGUCACAGUAACAGUUUAAAUCUAAAAGUCUCAAGUGGUCAGAGGUGGGGCUUUUUGGAAGAUGAUUGGAUCAUGGGGACACUGUACUCAUCCCUUAGAUUCGUUCACUGGUGACUCCAGGGCUGAAUCUACUGUGAGGACGUGGAGCCUGGUUGGAGGUAGUCACUGGUGGCGUGACCUGGAAAGGUGUAUGGUCCCAGCUCCUCCCUUCUUCCUCUGUUUCCUGGCUGCCUUGGGUUGAGCAGCUUUUCUCCACCAGGCCUUUCCACCAUGCUGUUUUUUACCUUGAAGCCAGAUUACCAUGGACUGAACCAUCUGAAACCGUGAGCCACAUACAGUCAUUCCUCCUUUAGGUUGUGCAUAUCAGUUAUUUUGUCCUAGAAAUGAAAAAGUGACUAAUUCAGUCACUAUAAAAAACAAUUGAAUCAAUAUCCCAGCAAAAUGGAGACUUUCCCAGUCUUUCAUUGGUGGGAAAGUAGAUAAGAGUAUGGGUUAGAGAUAGGCAUCACUAGGCUAUGAAUCUGAGUCUGUAACUUUGGGCAUAGUAUCCUCCUGAUCCUCAGUAUUUUCACUUGUUAAGUGGAGUUAUACUAUAUACUUUAUAAGGCUUCUGUAUGACUUAAUUUUUUAUAUAGGAUAUAAAGCACUUAGAAUGGUAGUUGGCAUUUAACUGCUCAAAUAAAGGACAUGUACUGCUAUUAUUUGGGAAGAGUCUGGACCUUGGUUACAAACAUAGAUCUCAUGUAUGUAAUAGCCAAAGGGCAUAUUCAACAAAUUUUUAUUCUGUAACUCAAAUAGUUAUUAAUUUCUAUUGUGUAGAAGAUAUUCCCCUAGGUGAUGUGGGAAAUAAAAAGACAAAUAAAAACAACUCUGCA